AUUGAACGCUGCGGCAGGCCUAACACAUGCAAGUCGAGCGGUAGAGAGAAGCUUGCUUCUCUUGAGAGCGGCGGACGGGUGAGUAAUGCCUAGGAAUCUGCCUGGUAGUGGGGGAUAACGUUCGGAAACGGACGCUAAUACCGCAUACGUCCUACGGGAGAAAGCAGGGGACCUUCGGGCCUUGCGCUAUCAGAUGAGCCUAGGUCGGAUUAGCUAGUUGGUGAGGUAAUGGCUCACCAAGGCGACGAUCCGUAACUGGUCUGAGAGGAUGAUCAGUCACACUGGAACUGAGACACGGUCCAGACUCCUACGGGAGGCAGCAGUGGGGAAUAUUGGACAAUGGGCGAAAGCCUGAUCCAGCCAUGCCGCGUGUGUGAAGAAGGUCUUCGGAUUGUAAAGCACUUUAAGUUGGGAGGAAGGGCAGUUACCUAAUACGUGAUUGUUUUGACGUUACCGACAGAAUAAGCACCGGUAA
rnacentral:rRNA from 1 species